UACGUAGGGUGCAAGCGUUGUCCGGAAUUAUUGGGCGUAAAGAGCUCGUAGGCGGUCUGUCGCGUCUGCUGUGAAAACUCAGGGCUUAACCCUGAGCUUGCAGUGGGUACGGGCAGACUAGAGUGCGGUAGGGGAGACUGGAAUUCCUGGUGUAGCGGUGAAAUGCGCAGAUAUCAGGAGGAACACCGAUUGCGAAGGCAGCUUCCUGGCCCAAUUCUGACGCUGAGGUGCGAAAGCGUGGGUAGCGAACGGG
rnacentral:rRNA from 1 species